GCUAAGGUAGCAUAAUAAUUUGUCUAAUAAUUCUAGACUGGAAUGAAUGUAAUCACACGGUUUAAUGUCUCCCUCCUUAUUGGUUGAAUUUCCUUUAUAGGUGAAAAGGCCUAUAACGAAUAAUGGGACGAGAAGACCCUUAGAAUUUGUAAAAGAUUUCACUGGGGCGGUGAUGGCUCGAAUCAGCCAUAAUAAUACAAGACGGACGUGUCAUGUGUGAGUAAAUUACCUAAGGGAUAACAGCAUAAUAAUAUAAAUUUGAUUGUGACCUCGAUGUUGGACUAGGGAACUCCAGGGCCAGAAGCU
rnacentral:rRNA from 1 species